UUUACAUUUUUGAUUCGCCUGUUUUGGAUGCGUGGUUUGAACUGUGUGCCGAAGCUGCCUGCUAAAGAACUCCAUCCACCUUGUUCCACACCCCACCAGCCCUCCAAGCUUCCGUCCAUUUCUUAGCAACACUCCCCUUUCCCCCAGCCCUUCUUGGGUUGGGCCACUGGGCUUUGGUGUGAAUGGGCACCCUGGAGAUUAGGCUAAAGGUGCUGAGACAGACACAAAUCCCACAUGGAUCUGCUGCCGGGAUCAGUGAGGCCCGCUCAGUCCUGCUGCUAGGUGUUCAGUGAGGCUACAGGCAUGUGGUGUUCAGUGAGGCCCGCUCAGUUCUGCUGCCAGGUGUUUAGUGAGGCUACAGGCAUGUGGUGUUCAGUGAGGCCCGCUCAGUCCUGCUGUCAGGUGUUCAGUGAGGCUCACUCAGUCCUGCUGCUAGGUGUUCAGUGAGGCUACAGGCAUGUGGUGUUCAGUGAGGCCCGCUCAGUUCUGCUGCCAGGUGUUUAGUGAGGCUACAGGCAUGUGGUGUUCAGUGAGGCCCGCUCAGUCCUGCUGCCAGGUGUUCAGUGAGGCUACAGGCAUGUGGUGUUCAGUGAGGCCCGCUCAGUCCUGCUGCCAGGUGUUCCGUGAGGCUCACUCAGUCCUGCUGCUAGUUGUUCAGUGAUGCUCCUGCCACAUUGUGUUCAGUGAAGCAGCUCAGUCCUGCUGCUAGGUAUGCAAUGAGGCUACAGCCACGUAUUGUUCAGUGAGGUCUGCUCAGUCUGGCUGCUAGGUAUGCAGUGAGUCUCCUGCCACGUGGUGUUCAGUGAGGUCUGCUCAGUCUGGCUGCUAGGUAUGCAGUGAGUCUCCUGCCACGUGGUGUUCAGUGAGGUCUGCUCAGUCUGACUGCUUGGUAUGCAGUGAGUCUCCUGCCACGUGGUAGUCAGUGAGGUCCGCUUUAGUCUUCUGGCUAGGUGUUCAGUAUGGUCCACUCAGUCCUGCUUCUCGGCAUUCAGUUGGUCUGCUCGCUUCACUUACUUGGUGUUCAGGGAGGCCCGCUCAGUCCUGCUGCCAGGCAUACAGUAAGGCUAGAGCCAUGUGAUGUUCAGUGAGGACAGGCAGGUGGCACAACUGCGGCGAGGGAUGGGAAGCUGUCCCACAUGCCUGGAGCCAGAGAGAAGGUGCCCAGUCUACAGUAUCUGUGUUAGGACUUUCAAGCCGGUGAUGGACAAGGCAUGUGCUGGAGCCAGCGGGCAGUCCAAACCCCUCUAAUGCCCAGGAUUAGCCUGCACCAUCGGCUAAUUAAACCAGCCUGAAAGAGACGCGUCAGCAUGAACCGGGCCUAAUGUAUCCUACCUGUAAGUGCUGCGAUUGCAAGAUGGCUCUCAGUGGGGGGCGUAAUGCAAGGAGCAGGGGAGUACCAGCCAUCUGCAGGUCCUAAACAUGGACCCCGGCAGCAGUAAUGCACAGGCAGAGCCAAGGCGUGCUGAGGAGUCUACGACACGGCGGCUUGGCUGCGCCGUACCAUGCGUGUGCGGGCAGGCAGGACACAGACGGGUCACAUUCCCAUGGAAACAGAUUAGGGCAGAUCUUCUGCCAAGAGCAGCUUCAAUCUCGCUGCUUUGUGCUGUGAUGAUAAUGAAAGUAGCUCAGAGUGUGGGAACACUUGGCAGCUCGUAAUGUGACUUUAAUUCCAGCUAUCCAAGAACCUUAGAUAAAAUCGGCAGUUAUGAUUUUUACGACUUCACUGAUAGCUUAGAUCAAAUAACGUCUCUGGGCUGACUUCCGCCGUUUAGCUGGCGCCACAGAAAUGUUUUUUGAAACUGAUGCAUUUUUAUUGUAUGUGUCUGACGUGCACCCUGCCAUGUGCUUCCCAUUUUAAAUGCUACCCCGCAGAGUCCCCUCCCUUUAACACUAACAGUAAUUGUAAAUUGACAGCUCUGACUCCCCCCCCCCCACGUGUUAUCACACACUGAUUUCCUCUUUU